GGAGUUGUGGCUCAGUGGUAGAGUGCUCACCUGGCACGUGUGAGGCACUGGGUUCAAUCCUCGGUACCA
rnacentral:tRNA from 1 species